GUGACCCCAGGUCAGGCGGGACUACCCGC
rnacentral:rRNA from 1 species